rnacentral:rRNA from 1 species
CAGCCGCCGCGGUAACACGUAGGUCCCGAGCGUUGUCCGGAUUUAUUGGGCGUAAAGCGAGCGCAGGCGGUUAGAUAAGUCUGAAGUUAAAGGCUGUGGCUUAACCAUAGUACGCUUUGGAAACUGUUUAACUUGAGUGCAAGAGGGGAGAGUGGAAUUCCAUGUGUAGCGGUGAAAUGCGUAGAUAUAUGGAGGAACACCGGUGGCGAAAGCGGCUCUCUGGCUUGUAACUGACGCUGAGGCUCGAAAGCGUGGGGAGCAAACAGGAUUAGAUACCCGAGUAGUCCCUGUCUCUUAUACA